rnacentral:rRNA from 1 species
CGCCGCGGCUUCAUUUAUUUUCAUCCUUGCGGCCGUACUUCGGGGGUGGCUAGUGUCAGGUUUUCCCUAUGGCUGUCACUACGGUCGCACCGUGGCCGACACCUAGGGAGUAUCGUUAUACGGUUACGACUACCCCGGUAUCUCAUCCGGUUCGAGUGCCAACCUUUAUUAUUGGUGUUUAAAGGGUCUGUUCUGGGCAUAGGUCAGUCCUUUGGGAGAUCCCGUAGCUGAUCUGUCAGGUUUUCCCAAGAUACUGCCUAGCUCUAAACUGUGAGAGGUAAGAGGUACUUCAUGGGUACGGGUGAAAUCUUGUAUUACUUGAAGGAUUUCCAAUGACAAAUGCCUCGUACCCUACCGAAUCUUAUGACCCGGUACUAACGCUUACGGCUCGAACCGCAUUAGAUACCCCGGUAGUCGUAACCGUACUUGACCUGCCCUUGCUAUCGUCUGCUUUUUAACCGUGAUCACUGCCAUAAUUAAAUCCUGAAACUAGACGUCUCCUAAUUACUGUUGCCAGGAUUAUACUUAUUUGACUUCUGCUGCAACCAC